GACGAACGCUGGCGGCGUGCUUAACACAUGCAAGUCGAACGAAGUGGCGAACGGGUGAGUAACGCGUAAUCCACCUGCCCUUCAGAGGGGGACAACAGCUGGAAACGACUGCUAAUACCGCAUACUGAAGGAGGGGAUUGCGUCUGCUUAGGUGGUGGGGGGGGGAACGGCCCACCAAGGCGAUGAUCAGUAGCCGGUCUUGGAGGAUGAACGGCCACAUUGGGACUGGGACAAGGCCCAGACUCCUACGGGAGGGAGCAGGGGGGAAACUUCCGCAAUGGACGAAAGUCUGACGGAGCAACGCCGCGUGAGUGAUGACGGCCUUCGGGUUGUAAAGCUCUGUUAAUCGGGACGCGGUACCGGAAUAGAAAGCCACGGCUAACUCCGUGCCAGCAGCCGCGGUAAUAC
rnacentral:rRNA from 1 species